AUUGAACGCUGGCGGCAUGCCUUACACAUGCAAGUCGAACGGCAGCACGGGUGCUUGCACCUGGUGGCGAGUGGCGAACGGGUGAGUAAUACAUCGGAACGUACCUUAUCGUGGGGGAUAACGCAGCGAAAGCUGUGCUAAUACCGCAUACGCCCUGAGGGGGAAAGCGGGGGAGCGCAAGAGCUCGCGCGAUUAGAGCGGCCGAUGCCUGAUUAGCUUGUUGGUGGGGUAAAAGCCCACCAAGGCGACGAGCGGUAGCUGGUCUGAGAGGGCGAUCGGCCACACUGGGACUGAGACACGGACCAGACUCCUACGGGAGGCAGCAGUGGGGAAUUUUGGACGAUGGGGGCAACUCUGAUCCAGCAAUGCCGCGUGAGUGAAGAAGGCCUUCGGGUUGUAAAGCUCUUUUGUCAGGGAAGAAACACCGGCUCUAACACAGUCUGGGAAUGACGGUACCUGAAGAAUAAGCACCGGCUAACUACGUGCCAGCCGCCGCAGUAA
rnacentral:rRNA from 1 species